rnacentral:lncRNA from 1 species
AAGGAACUGAUGAGUGACACUGACUCCUUACUGCAGCAAUGGAUCCCAAACUGAGAAAGGCCAAGAUCAUGUUCGGCCUGAAAGUGAAGAAGAAGAAGAAAGUCAACACCGACCUGGUCCUGGAAAACAAGGGAGCUGUGGACAGUGAGGCGGAGGUGCACUCUGAUGUGACUGUCCUGCUGGAGGGAGAAAACCUUGACGAUCAACCUGGAACCUCCGCAGUCAGAACCAGGAUAAUACCAAACAAUAAGAGGGCCAAGCUGAAAACUCGCGUCCAGGACGGUGAAGGGAAACCACAGAGCUUCCAGGUGAC